rnacentral:rRNA from 1 species
CGCAAGCCUGACGGAGCAAGACCGCGUGGGGGAGGAAUGCCUUAGGGUUGUAAACCCCUUUUAUCUGGGAAGAACAAAAUGACGGUACCAGAUGAAUAAGCCUCGGCUAACUCCGUGCCAGCAGCCGCGGUAAUACGGAGGAUGCAAGCGUUAUCCGGAAUCAUUGGGCGUAAAGCGUCCGCAGGUGGCAAAUCAAGUCUGCUGUUAAAGACAGAAGCUCAACUUCUGAGAAGCAGUGGAAACUGGUUAGCUAGAGUAUGGUAGGGGUUGAGGGAAUUCCCAGUGUAGCGGUGAAAUGCGUAGAUAUUGGGAAGAACACCAGUGGCGAAGGCGCUCAACUGGGCCAUAACUGACACUCAGGGACGAAAGCUAGGGUAGCG